GCCAGCAGCUGCUUCCUCUCAGGGGACAAACUCAGAGUGCUUAACUUCCCCAGCCCAUCUCUUUGGAUUUCAGCUACAAGCUGGGCCUAGGACCCAGAACCAAAUGGCACUAUGGGCUCAUAUUUGCAUAAUACGCCACCAAACACACCCUUUCCCCCCUGGAGCUCAGGAGGAGAUAAAAGACACAUCCCAGGGACCAGCACCAGUUGUAAGGCCACGGGACCUUUGGGAAGUCCACAUCAUGACCUGGACUCCACUCUUCCUACUCCCCUUCCUCACCUACUGCCCAGGGACCAGUUCUGAGGCUGUGGUGACCCAGGAGCCCUCACUGACUGUGUCCCCAGGAGAGACAGUCACUCUCACCUGUGCCUCCAGCUAUGGUGCAGUCAGCAAUGGACAUUUUCCAUGUUGGUUCCAGCAGAAGCCUGGCCAAUCCCCUAGGACAUUGAUUUAUAAUACACACAAUAAACCUUCCUGGACCCCUGCCCGAUUCUCAGGCUCCCUCCUUGG